CUUCCAGAGUAUCAAUUGGAGGGCAAGUCUGGUGCCAGCAGCCGCGGUAAUUCCAGCUCCAAUAGCGUAUAUUAAAAUUGUUGCAGUUAAAAAGCUCGUAGUUGAAUUUCUGCUGCAUUGCUUGUGUCCCUCUGGGGUCUGUGCAUGUGGCUUUUUUCGGACGGAGUUUCUUUGUCUGAAUGUUUACUUUGAGAAAAUUAGAGUGCUCAAAGCAGGCUUUCGCCUUGAAUAGUUUAGCAUGGAAUAAUAAAGUAGGACUUUGGUUCUAUUUUGUUGGUUUUAGGUACCAAAGUAAUGGUUAAUAGGAACAGUUGGGGGCAUUCGUAUUUAACUGUCAGAGGUGAAAUUCUUAGAUUUGUUAAAGACGAACUACUGCGAAAGCAUUUGCCAAGGAUGUUUUCAUUAAUCAAGAACGAAAGUUAGGGGAUCGAAGACGAUCAGAUACCGUCGUAGUCCUAACCAUAAACUA
rnacentral:rRNA from 1 species